UACGUAGGGGGCAAGCGUUGUCCGGAAUCAUUGGGCGUAAAGAGCGUGUAGGCGGCCCGGUAAGUCCGCUGUGAAAGUCGGGGGCUCAACCCUCGGAUGCCGGUGGAUACUGUCGGGCUUGAGUACGGAAGAGGCGAGUGGAAUUCCUGGUGUAGCGGUGAAAUGCGCAGAUAUCAGGAGGAACACCGAUUGCGAAGGCAGCUCGCUGGGACGUUACUGACGCUGAGACGCGAAAGCGUGGGGAGCAAACAGG
rnacentral:rRNA from 1 species